CACGUAGGGUGCGAGCGUUGUCCGGAAUUAUUGGGCGUAAAGAGCUCGUAGGCGGUGUGUCGCGUCGGCCGUGAAAACCUGCAGCUUAACUGUGGGCGUGCGGUCGAUACGGGCAUCACUGGAGUUCGGCAGGGGAGACUGGAAUUCCUGGUGUAGCGGUGAAAUGCGCAGAUAUCAGGAGGAACACCAGUGGCGAAGGCGGUGCUCUGGGCCGGUACUGACGCUGAGGAGCGAAAGCGUGGGGAGCAAACAGG
rnacentral:rRNA from 1 species